AUACGUAGGGUGCAAGCGUUAAUCGGAAUUACUGGGCGUAAAGAGCUCGUAGGUGGUUUGUCGCGUCGUCUGUGAAAUUCCGGGGCUUAACUCCGGGCGUGCAGGCGAUACGGGCAUAACUUGAGUACUGUAGGGGAGACUGGAAUUCCUGGUGUAGCGGUGAAAUGCGCAGAUAUCAGGAGGAACACCGGUGGCGAAGGCCGGUCUCUGGGCAGUAACUGACGCUGAGGAGCGAAAGCAUGGGUAGCGAACAGGAUUAGAUACCCUGGUAGUCCAUGCCGUAAACGGUGGGCGCUAGGUGUAGGGGUCUUCCACGACUUCUGUGCCGUAGCUAACGCAUUAAGCGCCCCGCCUGGGGAGUACGGCCGCAAGGCUAAAACUCAAAGGAAUUGACGGGG
rnacentral:rRNA from 1 species